AUACGUAGGGAGCAAACGUUGUCCGGAUUUAUUGGGCGUAAAGGGCUCGUAGGCGGUUCAACAAGUCGGUCGUGAAAGCCCGGGGCUCAACCCCGGGACGCCGGUCGAAACUGUUGUGACUAGAGUUCGGUAGAGGUGAGUGGAAUUCUCGGUGUAGCGGUGGAAUGCGCAGAUAUCGAGAGGAACACCAUUAGCGAAGGCAGCUCACUGGGCCGAUACUGACGCUGAGGAGCGAAAGCGUGGGGAGCAAACAGGAUUAGAUACCCUAGUAGUCC
rnacentral:rRNA from 1 species